GACGAACGCUGGCGGCGUGCUUAACACAUGCAAGUCGAGCGGUAAGGCCCCUUCGGGGGUACACGAGCGGCGAACGGGUGAGUAACACGUGGGUGACCUGCCCUCAGCUCUGGGAUAAGCCUGGGAAACUGGGUCUAAUACCGGAUAUGACUCCAUGACGCAUGUCGUGGGGUGGAAAGCCUUGUGCGGCUGGGGAUGGGCCCGCGGCCUAUCAGCUUGUUGGUGGGGUGAUGGCCUACCAAGGCGACGACGGGUAGCCGGCCUGAGAGGGCGACCGGCCACACUGGGACUGAGACACGGCCCAGACUCCUACGGGAGGCAGCAGUGGGGAAUCUUGCGCAAUGGGCGAAAGCCUGACGCAGCGACGCCGCGUGAGGGAUGACGGCCUCGGU
rnacentral:rRNA from 1 species